rnacentral:rRNA from 1 species
CAGUAGCCGCGGUAAUACGUAGGGUGCAAGCGUUAAUCGGAAUUACUGGGCGUAAAGCGUGCGCAGGCGGUUAUAUAAGUCGGAUGUGAAAUCCCCGGGCUCAACCUGGGAACUGCAUUUGAGACUGUAUGGCUAGAGUGUGUCAGAGGGGGGUAGAAUUCCACGUGUAGCAGUGAAAUGCGUAGAUAUGUGGAGGAAUACCGAUGGCGAAGGCAGCCCCCUGGGAUAACACUGACGCUCAUGCACGAAAGCGUGGGGAGCAAACAGGAUUAGAUACCCCGGUAGUCCCUGUCUCUUAUAC